rnacentral:rRNA from 1 species
GACGAACGCUGGCGGCGUGCCUAACACAUGCAAGUCGAGCGAUGAAGUUUCCUUCGGGAAAUGGGUUAGCGGCGGACGGGUGAGUAACACGUGGGUAACCUGCCUCAUAGAGGGGAAUAGCCUCCCGAAAGGGAGAUUAAUACCGCAUAAUAUUACAGUUUCGCAUGAAACAGUAAUUAAAGGAGCAAUCCGCUAUGAGAUGGACCCGCGGCGCAUUAGCUAGUUGGUAAGGUAACGGCUCACCAAGGCGACGAUGCGUAGCCGACCUGAGAGGGUGAUCGGCCACAUUGGGACUGAGACACGGCCCAGACUCCUACGGGAGGCAGCAGUGGGGAAUAUUGCACAAUGGGGGAAACCCUGAUGCAGCAACGCCGCGUGAGUGAUGACGGUCUUCGGAUUGUAAAGCUCUGUCUUUGGGGACGAUAAUGACGGUACCCAAGGAGGAAGCCACGGCUAACUACGUGCCAGCAGCCGCGGUAACAC